CUUCCGACUAGCCUGUCCUGCCAGUUGUACAUUAUAUUGAGUACAGUAGAGUUCAGGUCUUCCUCUCUCUUCCGACUAGCCUGUCCUGCCAGUUGUACAUUAUAUUGAGUACAGUAGAGUUCAGGUCUUCCUCUCUCUUCCGACUAGCCUGUCCUGCCAGUUGUACAUUAUAUUGAGUACAGUAGAGUUCAGGUCUUCCUCUCUCUUCCGACUAGCCUGUCCUGCCAGUUGUACAUUAUAUUGAGUACAGUAGAGUUCAGGUCUUCCUCUCUCUUCCGACUAGCCUGUCCUGCCAGUUGUACAUUAUAUUGAGUACAGUAGAGUUCAGGUCUUCCUCUCUCUUCCGACUAGCCUGUCCUGCCAGUUGUACAUUAUAUUGAGUACAGUAGAGUUCAGGUCUUCCUCUCUCUUCCGACUAGCCUGUCCUGCCAGUUGUACAUUAUAUUGAGUACAGUAGAGUUCAGGUCUUCCUCUCUCUUCCGACUAGCCUGUCCUGCCAGUUGUACAUUAUAUUGAGUACAGUAGAGUUCAG